GCCCGUAUAGCUCAGUGGUAAGUGGUAGAGCGUCAGUCUUUUAAACUGAAGGUCCGUAGUUCGAUCCUGCGUGUGGGCA